UGAGUGCACUUUUUUAAUGUACAUAAUACUUUUUGACAUUUGGAAAUGAGAAGCUAUGAAAAUAAGGCUGAUAAACCAGUAAAGAAGUCUUUCCUUAAAUGGUCACAAUCUGCCAAGAGCUGAUAAGGAAAAGGAUCCUGUGGGGACAAGGACAAGAAACUUACAGCCAUCAACCCCAUGUCAGCACUGGGCGAGAAAACAAAUAGAAUUCCAGACAAUUCAGAACAAAUACUACAAAUCAGAGAUGACCCCCAAACCUCCUUUCAAUCUGACCCUUUUGAAAGACAGCUAAGAAGCACAAAGGACAUUGGACAACUCCACACGAAUAGUUACACUGUGCCUUUUCUUUCGUCUUUCUUCUCUUGACCUCAAAUUAAAUUUGUUUUCAGUAAAAAGUUUUCUCUAUGGAGUAUAUCAUUUCAUCUCCAACAUAAAACACUCAAGAAGAGACUGAGGCAGAGCAAGGAUUCUAGACUCUAUUGACUUUAACCAAAGAAGUAGAGAUGCCUGAAAGUUUCCAACAGAUUGAAACUGAGAAGCACCACACCAGAAAUCUAGCAGACAUGAGCUGAGGAUUUUACCAGGAUUAUUUCACUAAAUCCACAUAAGAGCCCUAUCAUAUUCUGUGGGUCAAGAAUUCAGUCAAGGCACACUCCAAGGGACUGGACACCGAAAUGUUUCAAUCAGACUAUAAGAAGGCUGAGCUGAAGACUAGAAUUAGCUGAAGGCUGGCUCACUCACUUUUCUGGCAAUUGAUGUUCGCUGUUGUCCAAGGUCCACCUGGGGCCUCUCCAGUAGCCUGAACUUUCUUACAGUAAGUGGUUGAGUUCCCAGAGUAAGAAAGAGAGAGGGUCAAACAGAUGUCAUGUCCUUUUACUGACCUGGUUUCGGAUGUUACAGAGCAGGGGCACCUGGGUGUCUCAGUCG